AUCAAGCCUUACAGCAGAUAAGCUUUUUAUAUAAAAUUAAUAUCUUAGAUAUAAAUAUAAAAUCAUCCAUUUUCAAAGUCAAAUAAACCGUAUCCCGACUGGCCCGAACCAUAGUUGGGCUUGUUUUUAAAUUAAAUUCACUCCAUUCCCCUGUUUUAUAUGUCCGCUCACCCCACGAUCACAAAACUCUAUUACCAGUCGAGGUUCCCAGUGGCUCUCAGGAGUUUUCUUAGAGGAGCGGAAGUUAAAUAUGUCCAGAUUCCGCUCACUACUGCAAGCAUCGUUGAAUGCUACAAGAAGAGCACUCGCGUGGAACAUUGAAGACCUAGUUCCACCCAGUGAAAGAUACAUUUUCAACUUCAGUUCAAAGGAUGAGCUCAAGAAUUGGCAUUUAUACUCAGAUUCAGAAUAUGGAGGUCUGUCCUCAGCAGCUUUGGAGAUUAAGGACACUGGAAAUGGGUCAACUAGUGUUGGUCUUUUCUCUGGAAACCUCUCUUUGGAUGUUAUGGAAGGAUCAAAGUGGAAUAUGACUCGAAGUGGCUUUUGUGGAAUGCGGUCUAAAAAGUUUGAUGGCUUCAUUGAUUUGGAUGGAUAUGACACAAUAGCUCUUAAACUUAAAGGGGAUGGAAGAUGCUAUAUUUCUACAAUAUACACAGAGAAUUGGGUCAAUAGUCCAGGACAAGAUGAAGAUAAUUCAUGGCAAGCAUUCGUUUUUGUUCCAAAAGACAACUGGUAUAUUGCAAAGAUCCCACUUACUCGUUACGCACCUACAUGGAGAGGGAACAUAAUAAAUGCAAGGAUGGAGAUGAAUCCAGCUCGAAUCGUUGGUAUGUCUUUAUCUGUCAACGCAGAAGGUGGAGUUCCAGAUGCGAAAUCUGGGCCUGGUGAUUUUGGAGUUGAAGUUGAUUGGAUCAAAGCCUUGCGGAUGAUGCAGUAAACCAAAGUGGAACAUUAUCAAGACCAGGACCUUUGGGGCAUCCAUGCUUAUUGGUUGGGCAAGAUUGCAGAAAUGCUAGCUACGGAGUUGGUAUCUUUGAAGUCAUCAAACGGAGAUCGGAGAUGUAGGAGAUACAGGUCUGGCAAUCAAAUAUUUCAGUGAUGUGCUAGUAAUCAGUAAUACUGUUAACAGACUCUGUUGCACUCACCCUGGGGCGAGACUAGCAAAACAUUUAGAGACUCAAGUGUGGGCUAAGUUUCAUAAGACUACAUCCUUAUCAUCUGACUAUAUGCCCAAAGCAUGUCUAAAGCUCGGGGCUCGCCUAACAUCUUAUACAAAUUGUGUUGGAACUUUUAGUUAACGUUGUUGAACUUUAUAAUUUUUGAGUAAAUGAAUGUUACUUAAUAUUUCCAAUCUA